CUACUGGUCAAAUUUAACAAACUGUGAGGGUGACUAGACACUUUCUAAUUCUUUUCUGGCAUCGGACUCAGAUGAGAAAACUGAAAUGCUGGGAGAGUUGAAGUUGCUUACUCAACAUUGUUAAUCCCUAGUGACUGGCAAAGCGGGAAUCCACAUGAAAACAACCAUUGAAUCAGAAAGAAUAAAGAUGAAUAAGGAGUUGAAACUAAAGAAAAAUGAAUAAUGGAGGAGGAUUUUUUUGGAGUAUCUUGUUGUGCUCACUAAGGUAAAAUUAAAUAGAAUGGAU
rnacentral:lncRNA from 1 species